rnacentral:rRNA from 1 species
AUACGGAGGGUGCGAGCGUUAAUCGGAAUUACUGGGCGUAAAGGGUGCGUAGGCGGUUUGAUAAGUCGGAUGUGAAAGCCCCGGGCUUAACCUGGGAAUGGCAUUCGAUACUGUCAGGCUAGAGUAUGUCAGAGGUUGGCGGAAUUCCUGGUGUAGCGGUGAAAUGCGUAGAUAUCAGGAGGAACACCAGUGGCGAAGGCGGCUAACUGGGGCAAUACUGACGCUGAGGCACGAAAGCGUGGGGAGCAAACAGGAUUAGAUACCCUAGUAGUCC